rnacentral:rRNA from 1 species
CACGUAGGGUGCGAGCGUUGUCCGGAAUUAUUGGGCGUAAAGAGCUCGUAGGCGGUGUGUCGCGUCGGCCGUGAAAACCUGCAGCUUAACUGUGGGCUUGCGGUCGAUACGGGCAUCACUGGAGUUCGGCAGGGGAGACUGGAAUUCCUGGUGGUAGCGGUGAAAUGCGCAGAUAUCAGGAGGAACACCGGUGGCGAAGGCGGGUCUCUGG